UAGGGAAUNUUCCACAAUGGGCGCAAGCCUGAUGGAGCAACACCGCGUGAGUGAAGAAGGGUUUCGGCUCGUAAAGCUCUGUUGUUGAAGAAGAACGUGCGUGAGAGUAACUGUUCACGCAGUGACGGUAUUCAACCAGAAAGUCACGGCUAACUACGUGCCAGCAGCCGCGGUAAUACGUAGGUGGCAAGCGUUAUCCGGAUUUAUUGGGCGUAAAGCGAGCGCAGGCGGUUAGAUAAGUCUGAAGUUAAAGGCUGUGGCUUAACCAUAGUACGCUUUGGAAACUGUUUAACUUGAGUGCAAGAGGGGAGAGUGGAAUUCCAUGUGUAGCGGUGAAAUGCGUAGAUAUAUGGAGGAACACCGGUGGCGAAAGCGGCUCUCUGGCUUGUAACUGACGCUGAGGCUCGAAAGCGUGGGGAGCAAACAGGAUUAGAUACCCUGGUAGUCCACGCCGUAAACGAUGAGUGCUAGGUGUUAGACCCUUUCCGGGGUUUAGUGCCGCAGCUAACGCAUUAAGCACUCCGCCUGGGGAGUACGACCGCAAGGUUG
rnacentral:rRNA from 1 species